AACGCAUAUUGCGCUCUCUGGUAUUCCGGAGAGCAUGCCUGUUUGAGGGUAAUUAAAUAAAUCUUUGACUAUUUUUUUAGUCAAGGGAUAUUAGGUUCUCCGCACUUUGUAGCGGUAGCCUGAAAUAUAUGGUUAGUCUCAUUUUGUUGAGAUGCGUAAUAAUAUUUAUUUCGCGAAAAAUCAUCAAUGAGAUUCUACCAAGUUUUGACGCGGACAGUCCAAGCUGAAUGCGAUUAAUACAAAAAUUUUUUGAACAUUACCUCAAAUCAGGUAGGAAUACCCGCUGAACUUAA
rnacentral:misc_RNA from 1 species